UUUCAUGUUACCAUUGUAAUGUAUCACAGCUGCAUUCUCAAUUUCUGACCGGUCAAUGCUUGGAUUGUAUCCCAAACCUAGCACGUGCCACGACUUCUCUAGUGGAUGUGUAAGCCCGUAAAAUGUGAUCAGCCCUGGAGGUAGAGUUCCCAGCUUCCAGAGGACCCUAUCUUCAUUCUAAUGCAAACGCAGAAGAAAGAACCAAGUGCCACGACUUCUCAAGUGGAUGUGUAAGCCCGUAAAAUGUGAUCAGCCCUGGAGGUAGAGUUCCCAGCUUCCAGAGCACCCUGUCUUCAUUCUAAUGCAAAGGCAGAAGAGAGAACCAAAAUCCAACUUAGCAAGAAAUCAAAUAACAAAUACAAUACUAUAUAUUGGGUUGAAUAUUGUGUUCUAACAGUGUCUCAAUGUUUCUGUUGGGAAUAAAUAUCUACAUGGUGUAAAAACAUUUUAGGAAGGAGAAACACUACAAUGUAGUCCAUACACGUAGUCCAUACAUUACUUUACAUAUUUUAACUUAAAAAACAGAAAUACAUAGAUGACGACAUACAUAUCCUGAUGCUAAGUAAAGGUUUUACUUCAUUUGAUACAAUACGUG
rnacentral:lncRNA from 1 species